rnacentral:tRNA from 1 species
GGAGGGGCUGUGGCUCAGUGGCAGGAGUGUUUACUUGACAUACAGAAGGUCAUAAGUUCAAUUCCCAGCUCCUCCA